CAAGCGGUGGAGCAUGUGGUUUAAUUCGAAGCAACGCGAAGAACCUUACCAAGUCUUGACAUCCUUCUGACCGUCCCUUAACCGGGAUUUCCCUUCGGGGCAGGAGUGACAGGUGGUGCAUGGUUGUCGUCAGCUCGUGUCGUGAGAUGUUGGGUUAAGUCCCGCAACGAGCGCAACCCUUAUCUUCAGUAGCCAGCGGUUAGGCCGGGCACUCUGGAGAGACUGCCGGGGGUAACCCGGAGGAAGGUGGGGAUGACGUCAAAUCAUCAUGCCCCUUAUGACUUGGGCUACACACGUGCUACAAUGGUGAUAACAAAGGGAAGCAGCCCUGUGAAGGUGAGCAAAUCCCAAAAAUGUCAUCUCAGUUCGGAUUGUAGUCUGCAACUCGACUACAUGAAGCUGGAAUCGCUAGUAAUCGCGAAUCAGAAUGUCGCGGUGAAUACGUUCCCGGGUCUUGUACACACC
rnacentral:rRNA from 1 species